UAUGGGUGUGUCUUGACGGUGGCACACAACGGGGUGGUGAGGCUUUUCAGCAACACAAAUCAGGUGAUUUUGUAAUUUUGGGAGGGUGGCGGCGCAGCGGCGGAUAGCGCCGCAAGGAGGAAGGUCAGUGACGACGGUGGGCACGGACAUCACUCAGAACGCGCGUAGAGGCGGUAAGUUGGUCGACGCGGCGGCAACGACAUUGAACGGAACGGAGCUCGCGACUCGCAGCGAUGGCGGUGACUUCAUCGGUAGAUAGCAGCGGCGUAGCAGGGAUGGUGUGUGAGGGAGGAAGA